rnacentral:rRNA from 1 species
UACGUAGGGGGCAAGCGUUGUCCGGAAUUAUUGGGCGUAAAGAGCUUGUAGGCGGUCUGUCGCGUCUGCUGUGAAAAUCCGGGGCUCAACCCCGGACUUGCAGUGGGUACGGGCAGACUAGAGUGUGGUAGGGGAGACUGGAAUUCCUGGUGUAGCGGUGAAAUGCGCAGAUAUCGGGAGGAACACCAAUGGCGAAGGCAGCUCGCUGGGACGGUACUGACGCUGAGACGCGAAAGCGUGGGGAGCAAACAGG